rnacentral:rRNA from 1 species
ACGCGCUGCGACCCCA